UACGAAGGGGGCUAGCGUUGUUCGGAAUUACUGGGCGUAAAGCGCGCGCAGGCGGUCCUUCAAGUCAGAGGUGAAAGCCCAGAGCUCAACUCUGGAAUGGCCUUUGAGACUAGAGGACUUGGGUACGGGAGAGGUGAGUGGAAUUCCGAGUGUAGAGGUGAAAUUCGUAGAUAUUCGGAAGAACACCAGUGGCGAAGGCGGCUCACUGGCCCGUUACCGACGCUCAGGC
rnacentral:rRNA from 1 species